UGCUUCAUUGGCUUAUCAAUUUCAUUGUAGUUGUGACACACCAAGUCUGGCUUCCAGACAAUGGCCAAACAUGGGCUAAAUCUGGCCCAGUUCAGGCCCAGUUAUGGGUUAUUAGCUUGGCUGAGACAUGGCGUGGAUAUGGUCCAUGCUUGGCGCUUGUCUGAAAGCCAAACGUUGUCCAGUCGAAAUUCACUGCGGCAUUUGGGCCAAGCAAAAGCGGAUUGUGUGGGCCAGAGCUCGGCCAGGGAAAAUUUGCUAUGUGGGUAUGAGUAUAUAAAAAUGAUGCAAUGAAAAACACCUGUUAACUAAAGAAUAAGCAUAUGUAGACAAUGUAACUCUUAAUAAAAAAAAUACAGAUUUUAAAAAUAAAUGAAAACUGAUUCAACGUAAAUGUUAAAACCGCUUGCCAUAGCCUCGAAGCCCAUCAUCAGACUGUAGCCUAUACAGUGAGUAUUGCGUUUUUAUAAGGCUAGCAUAAAAAUAUUAAAGAUAUGCCUUAAUAAAACUGUCAUAUCAACGUUGUAAAUACAUUCCUUCAAUGACUCUUCGUGUUACUUUUCGCAUGGUAAAUAAAACGACAGAACUCUUUUCGCAAUUGUUCGGACAGAUUUUGUGAAUCGGCUCAGAUCAUUCAUUUUAAAGGAUCCUCCUCCUCUUCAUCGCGGGAAUUUUUUAUUGGAAAAUCCCAGUUGCUUUAAAGGUAAUGCGCUUUGAAAAAGCAGAAGUACAUCCACGGAAACCCAUUAUCCCCAACAUUGCACGACGGUUAGCACACCUCCUGAACAAUCCCGCACAGAAUCAUGUCUGGAGUCGAACAGGUCUACUUCAUCGGAACCGCAGUUUCUCUUCUGGUGGCUCUGUUUGGUCUGGCUAGUUCAGUAGGGGGUCUGAUGUAUCCUCAAGGAUCAUGUCUGGCAGACGACAACUGGACCGUGUGGACUGUUUCACUGACGGAAGCUGCUGCCAACGCCAAGCGCUUUGGAUCCAAAUGAACUGGAGCAGUGAUGUGAUCAAUUGCACUAGGAGAAAUAAUCGGUGUAUUAAGACUACUGAAGACUAAUAUGAAACUGUUUCCUCCAUUACACUGUGUGAGCUGUGUUUUGUUGAGUCAUGUGAAAUAUGAGACAGUAUGAAGAACAAUGAUGGUGCAGUGCUAAUAGUCCUUUCUUUUUUCUUUUGUUGUUCUGGUUUCUGGGUAGAAACUGUAACACACUGGACUGCUGUAAAAUUAUCAUGUACUGCUUGUAUGAAUGCUUUGUCAUUGAUUUUACAAACUUUGUAGCUAUUCUGACACUGUAUUCAUGGAGAAACCGCAUUGAAAAAAUCUACACAAUUUUACAUAUGGUUACAAAGGGAACUAAUGGAUUGAAGUUAGUAGUAUGAUAUGUAAAUGGAUAUAAAAAUGGCAUUCAAAUAUCUUAAAUGCAUCCCAUAUGAAAAUAUGAUUUGGAAAAAUAUUUUUUUUAUCAUAUAUUUACAUAUUUGUAUUGGUUAAAUAUAUGUAAAUGUCCCUUUUUAAAAAUAUUUAUGUAAAUAUUUGACUUUUUGGGUUUGUAAAAUCCAAACAUGACCUUGUCAUAUAUAUGAUUUGCAUAUAUUGAUAUCAGAUUAUUUGUACAUUAUUUUUGGAUUAUCAAAGUAAUAUAAUAAUACAGUAAAAUGGCCAGAAACAAUAGUAAAAAAGCCAGAUUAGUAAUGGAAUUGGUAAAUUUCACAAAUCUGAAGUAAAAAGGAAAGUAAAAUGUUUGACGUACACUUCCCUAAAGUUUUUGUUGUUGUUUUUCAGAAUCCGCUCCAAUAUUUUGUUUACAUAUUAAAUAUAAUAUACAUUUUUACUGUGCCAUUAGAAAACAAAUGUUUUUAAUUAUUUUUUAACAACCUUAUUUUGUACUUUUUUAUGUAAAUGGAGUACUGACAGAUAUGUAGGACAACUAUACAAAACUGCUGUUACUAAAACUCUAAUUUAUAUUGUGGAAUAAAAACAUGUAUACAGUA